rnacentral:rRNA from 1 species
UACGUAGGGGGCAAGCGUUGUUCGGAAUUACUGGGCGUAAAGGGCGCGUAGGCGGCCAUCUAAGUCAGACGUGAAAUCCCUCGGCUCAACCGAGGAACUGCGUCUGAUACUGGAAGGCUUGAAUCCGGGAGAGGGAUGUGGAAUUCCAGGUGUAGCGGUGAAAUGCGUAGAUAUCUGGAGGAACACCGGUGGCGAAGGCGGCAUCCUGGACCGGCAUUGACGCUGAGGAGCGAAAGCUAGGGGAGCAAACAGG